rnacentral:rRNA from 1 species
GUCCUUUUGAGUUUAUUUAAGGUCUGACCUGCCCACUGAAUUUUUAAUGGCCGCAGUAUACUAACUGUGCAAAGGUAGCAUAAUAAUUAGUCUUUUAAUUGAGGGCUGGAAUGAAUGGUCGGACGAGGUAUAUACUGUUUCAUUUGAAUUUACUAUAGAACUUUAUUUUUCAGUAAAAAAGCUGAGAUUAUUUUAAAAGACGAGAAGACCCUAUAAAUCUUUACAUUUUUAAUAAUUUUUAAAUUAAGAAUUCUUUUUGUAUUUUAUUAAAAAGUGUUUUAUUGGGGUGAUAUUAAAACUUGUUAAACUUUUAAAUUUUUAUACAUUAAUUUAUGAGUACUUGAUCCGCUUUAGCGAUUAUUAAUCUAAGUUACUUUAGGGAUAACAGCGUAAUUUUUUUGGAGAGUUCAUAUCGAUAAAAAAGAUUGCGACCUCGAUGUUGGAUUAAGGGAUUAGUUUAG